rnacentral:rRNA from 1 species
UACGUAGGGUCCGAGCGUUGUCCGGAAUUAUUGGGCGUAAAGGGCUCGUAGGCGGUCCGUCACGUCGGGAGUGAAAACUCAGGGCUCAACCCUGAGCGUGCUUCCGAUACGGGCGGACUAGAGGUAUGCAGGGGAGAACGGAAUUCCUGGUGUAGCGGUGGAAUGCGCAGAUAUCAGGAGGAACACCAGUGGCGAAGGCGGCUAUCUGGACGGUUUCUGACGCUAAGACGCGAAAGCGUGGGGAGCAAACAGG